rnacentral:rRNA from 1 species
CCUACGGGUGGCUGCAGCAAGGAAUUUUCGUCAAUGGGCGCAAGCCUGAACGAGCAACGCCGCGUGCAGGAUGACGGCCUUCGGGUUGUAAACUGCUUUUGGAGAGGAAGAUAACGACGGUACUCUCCGAAUCAGCCCCGGCUAACUCUGUGCCAGCAGCCGCGGUAAUACAGAGGGGGCAAGCGUUGUCCGGAUUUACUGGGCGUAAAGGGUACGUAGGCGGUUCAACAGGUGGGGUGUGACAUCUCCAAGCUUAACUUGGAGCGGCCGCCGCA